UACAGAGGGUGCGAGCGUUAAUCGGAAUUACUGGGCGUAAAGCGUGCGUAGACGGUUAUUUAAGUCGGGUGUGAAAGCCCCGGGCUCAACCUGGGAAUUGCAUUCGAGACUGAAUAGCUAGGGUACGGUAGAGGGAAGUGGAAUUUCCGGUGUAGCGGUGAAAUGCGUAGAUAUCGGGAGGAACACCAGUGGCGAAGGCGACUACCUGGCCCAUUCUUGACGCUGAGGCGCGAAAGCUAGGGGAGCGAACGGG
rnacentral:rRNA from 1 species